GAACGACUUUAUUGGUUGUCUUUGUGAAGGACAGACUUAUACUGGUGCACUGGAGAACGAAACAAUCGCAGGGUCUGUUGGAAUCUGCGAGAGCUGCCAGACGACACCUGCAUUGGUCUAGGAGAAUAAUUAGGAUUUUCUUCGACUAUGCUCAAUCCAGUCAGAAAAUGAAGGACAUCGAUAGCAUAUAGUGAUGAGCUUGAACAACUGCGUCUUGAUUGAAUUAUAUAUCGAUAUUUGAGAUAAAUAGACAGGCGUUUUGGGUGCAGCAUCGCCACGAUUACGUAUACGCAGAUGAAAGCAAGAGAAGUAAAAGCAGAAAGCCGCUGAGGAGAGGCGAUGGAACAACAUAAUUUCAUCUUC
rnacentral:sRNA from 1 species